UUGUACACACCGCCCGUCACACCAUGGGAGUUUGUUGCACCAGAAGUAGCUAGCCUAACUGCAAAGAGGGCGGUUACCACGGUGUGGCCGAUGACUGGGGUGAAGUCGUAACAAGGUAGCCGUAGGGGAACCUGCGGCUGGAUCACCUCCUUAACGAAAGAUUGACGAUUGGUAAGAAUCCACAACAAGUUGUUCUUCAUAGAUGUAUCUGAGGGUCUGUAGCUCAGUUGGUUAGAGCACACGCUUGAUAAGCGUGGGGUCACAAGUUCAAGUCUUGUCAGACCCACCAUGACUUUGACUGGUUGAAGUUAUAGAUAAAAGAUACAUGAUUGAUGAUGUAAGCUGGGGACUUAGCUUAGUUGGUAGAGCGCCUGCUUUGCACGCAGGAGGUCAGGAGUUCGACUCUCCUAGUCUCCACCAGAACUUAAGAUAAGUUCGGAUUACAGAAAUUAGUAAAUAAAGAUUGAGAUCUUGGUUUAUUAACUUCUGUGAUUUCCUUAUCACGGUAAUUAGUGUGAUCUGACGAAGACACAUUAACUCAUUAACAGAUUGGCAAAAUUGAGUCUGAAAUAAAUUGUUCACUCAAGAGUUUAGGUUAAGCAAUUAAUCUAGAUGAAUUGAGAACUAGCAAAUUAACUGAAUCAAGCGUUUUGGUAUGUGAAUUUAGAUUGAAGCUGUACAGUGCUUAAGUGCACAGUGCUCUAAACUGAAAUGUUGAAGUUACUAACUUGUAGGUAACAUCGACUGUUUGGGGUUGUAUAGUCAAGUAAUUAAGUGCAUGUGGUGGAUGCCUUGGCAGUCAGAGGCGAUGAAAGACGUGAUAGCCUGCGAAAAGCUCCGGGGAGGCGGCAAAUAUCCUUUGAUCCGGAGAUGUCUGAAUGGGGGAACCCACCUACUUUAAGGUAGGUAUUGCAACAUGAAUACAUAGUGUUGCAAGGCGAACGAGGGGAACUGAAACAUCUAAGUACC
rnacentral:misc_RNA from 1 species